rnacentral:rRNA from 1 species
UACGUAGGGUGCAAGCGUUAAUCGGAAUUACUGGGCGUAAAGCGUGCGCAGGCGGUUAUGUAAGACAGUUGUGAAAUCCCCGGGCUCAACCUGGGAACUGCAUCUGUGACUGCAUAGCUAGAGUACGGUAGAGGGGGAUGGAAUUCCGCGUGUAGCAGUGAAAUGCGUAGAUAUGCGGAGGAACACCGAUGGCGAAGGCAAUCCCCUGGACCCGUACUGACGCUCAUGCACGAAAGCGUGGGGAGCAAACAGG